GCACUCAACAGUCUGGCUUUUGGCAGAACAGUAUGGAUUUAUUUCCGUGGUGUCCGGUAUCUUGGGCUACCAGGGAACGCUCCACAGACGUCACAGUGAGUCAUCAGAGGUGCUUGCCCAGUGCUGCAAGCCCUAACACCACCCAGAAAGAGCUUCCCUGUGAGGAGGCCGGACAGGACUCAGUCUGUCAGCCUAAUGUGCUUCAUGCUGUAGUUGCAGUUCUACAGAAUGCCUUUUCUUCAUUUAUAUCUACAAAUGUGCAAUAGUUUGGAGGGAUCUCUCCACUAAAAAAAGUUUUCUAUUUUAUACGUAGAACUGUACAUAUUUGAAUUGCUCUGCACUGGUUAUGUAGGACAUAAGUAACUAAAUACAUGUAAUUUUGCAUAUGUAGGCUUCUGCCCUAUUUAGAUUUGAUUUACUUAGCACACAUGGCUCUUGCAGAACACCAAAUUAAAUAAGUUCGGAUACUUACUCUAUAUGAUGUCCUAUGAGAUUCAAUUCUUGCACCUUCAAUAACACCAGUGGCAAUUAAAGCUGCUGUGCUAUCCAAAAAAAUGAAAUGCAAAUUGGUAUCUUGCUGAACUCAGAAUGUUUCCUUGUUACAAAUGUUUGAUCUUCAAGACAUAACUAAAAUUCAGCUUAAAGUAGGUAAUGG